GGUUCAUGGCACGCCCAGGACCACAGAGCUACUAGCAGAGACCACCUACGCCUCUGCCCCUGGCCUGUGCUCUUCACAGCACACUCUGCCACACUCCCUCUCCUGUGUGAAGGCUCCCCCGGGAAAGAGGAAAAACAGGAGUUAUUCUAGGCAAAGUAACCUUAAAUCCGACAGCAGCAGAUCAAUUAUAAGUAAGUGCAGCUCCAGGACGUGCUCCCCUAUCUUCCCAUCAGACCUCAGUCAGCAGCCAUGGACAUGGGCCUCUAUCUCCUCCGAACUGCUUUCCCCACCCUAGUUCCCACUCUGGAAUAGGUCCCCCCAAGAGCCAAGGCCCCCAGCCCAUUAUGGCAUCUUUAUUCUCUGUUUCUCUAGAAACAGCUGGUUCUGCUCAACUCCCAGAGAUGAUUUUCCAAAAACCCCAACACUUCCAUUUGCCCGGGCUGCCAGAGAGAGAAAGGGCAUCCUCAAAGACACUGAAGACCACCUUCUAGAAGCCACCUGCACUGUCUAUCAUGUGACUGGCUCUGGGUGCCCUCUGUCUUGCGAAAGGGGCUGGCUCAGAUGGCAAAGAUAUUCCAGAUCUUCCUGAAGAAGACAGAAAGAGAUGCUCAGGUUGGGGAGGGAAUGAGACCCCUGGGGAAGGGACUCCUCCCAGCUGAGGAGUUGAUUAGAAGCAACCUUGGAGUUGGCAGGAGUCUCAGAGAUUGCCUGAGUUAGUCCAAGAAGCAGGCUGAAGGAGUUUGGGAGCAAGAGACUAAAACCAGCCAAGUUUGGGACAGAAAGGAAGGAAAGGGUUGAGCGGUGAACAGAAAGACAAAGAACAGGCAGUUCCAAAGAGCCAAGAAUGCAAAUCAUUUGCAGACGCCGCCAGCGAGAGCCUCCACCGAGGCUGCUGUGCCGGGGGUGCCUGACGCUGUGGGCACAGCCACUUCUACACGUCACGGUUAAGGAUUCAGGGAGAAUGUCCAAGAACUCUGUGAAAACUCUUGUCAAUAAAUACUGGAAUCAUCAGUUCCUGACACCCCACGCAGGACAUGGGGACUUCCAGUUGCCUACAGAGCUGUGAUAGCAGAAGCUUCUCAAUGCUAAGGAGGCUAGAAAUGACCUACCAGGAGCCAAGGACAUAGGAUUCAGCUCAAGCUCUGCCUCUAACAAGCCACAUGACCUUGAAAACAUGCUUAAGUGUUGAGGGGGGGUCAGAACUUUCAUAUGUAAAAUAAAGAGUCUCGGGCAAAGCA
rnacentral:lncRNA from 13 species